GGAUAACCUUGCGAAAGUAAGACUAAUACCCAAUGAUAUCUCUAGAAGGCAUCUGAAAGAGAUUAAAGAUUUAUCGGUGAUGGAUGGGGAUGCGUCUGAUUAGCUUGUUGGCGGGGUAACGGCCCACCAAGGCAACGAUCAGUAGGGGUUCUGAGAGGAAGGUCCCCCACAUUGGAACUGAGACACGGUCCAAACUCCUACGGGAGGCAGCAGUGAGGAAUAUUGGCCAAUGGACGAGAGUCUGAACCAGCCAAGUAGCGUGCAGGAAGACGGCCCUAUGGGUUGUAAACUGCUUUUAUAAGGGAAUAAAGUGAGUCUCGUGAGACUUUUUGCAUGUACCUUAUGAAUAAGGACCGGCUAAUUCCGUGCCAGCAGCCGCGGUAAUACGGAAGGUCCGGGCGUUAUCCGGAUUUAUUGGGUUUAAAGGGAGCGUAGGCCGGAGAUUAAGCGUGUUGUGAAAUGUAGAUGCUCAACAUCUGAACUGCAGCGCGAACUGGUUUCCUUGAGUACGCACAAAGUGGGCGGAAUUCGUGGUGUAGCGGUGAAAUGCUUAGAUAUCACGAAGAACUCCGAUUGCGAAGGCAGCUCACUGGAGCGCAACUGACGCUGAAGCUCGAAAGUGCGGGUAUCGAACAGGAUUAGAUACCCUGGUAGUCCGCACGGUAAACGAUGGAUGCCCGCUGUUGGUCUGAAUAGGUCAGCG
rnacentral:rRNA from 1 species